rnacentral:rRNA from 1 species
AGAGUUUGAUUAUGGCUCAGAUUGAACGCUGGCGGCAGGCUUAACACAUGCAAGUCGAGCGGAGUGAUGGUGCUUGCACUAUCACUUAGCGGCGGACGGGUGAGUAAUGCUUAGGAAUCUGCCUAUUAGUGGGGGACAACAUUUCGAAAGGAAUGCUAAUACCGCAUACGUCCUACGGGAGAAAGCAGGGGAUCUUCGGACCUUGCGCUAAUAGAUGAGCCUAAGUCGGAUUAGCUAGUUGGUGGGGUAAAGGCCUACCAAGGCGACGAUCUGUAGCGGGUCUGAGAGGAUGAUCCGCCACACUGGGACUGAGACACGGCCCAGACUCCUACGGGAGGCAGCAGUGGGGAAUAUUGGACAAUGGGCGCAAGCCUGAUCCAGCCAUGCCGCGUGUGUGAAGAAGGCCUUAUGGUUGUAAAGCACUUUAAGCGAGGAGGAGGCUACUGAAGUUAAUACCUUCAGAUAGUGGACGUUACUCGCAGAAUAAGCACCGGCUAACUCUGUGCCAGCAGCCGCGGUAAUACAGAGGGUGCAAGCGUUAAUCGGAUUUACUGGGCGUAAAGCGCGCGUAGGCGGCUAAUUAAGUCAAAUGUGAAAUCCCCGAGCUUAACUUGGGAAUUGCAUUCGAUACUGGUUAGCUAGAGUGUGGGAGAGGAUGGUAGAAUUCCAGGUGUAGCGGUGAAAUGCGUAGAGAUCUGGAGGAAUACCGAUGGCGAAGGCAGCCAUCUGGCCUAACACUGACGCUGAGGUGCGAAAGCAUGGGGAGCAAACAGGAUUAGAUACCCUGGUAGUCCAUGCCGUAAACGAUGUCUACUAGCCGUUGGGGCCUUUGAGGCUUUAGUGGCGCAGCUAACGCGAUAAGUAGACCGCCUGGGGAGUACGGUCGCAAGACUAAAACUCAAAUGAAUUGACGGGGGCCCGCACAAGCGGUGGAGCAUGUGGUUUAAUUCGAUGCAACGCGAAGAACCUUACCUGGCCUUGACAUAGUAAGAACUUUCCAGAGAUGGAUUGGUGCCUUCGGGAACUUACAUACAGGUGCUGCAUGGCUGUCGUCAGCUCGUGUCGUGAGAUGUUGGGUUAAGUCCCGCAACGAGCGCAACCCUUUUCCUUAUUUGCCAGCGAGUAAUGUCGGGAACUUUAAGGAUACUGCCAGUGACAAACUGGAGGAAGGCGGGGACGACGUCAAGUCAUCAUGGCCCUUACGGCCAGGGCUACACACGUGCUACAAUGGUCGGUACAAAGGGUUGCUACCUAGCGAUAGGAUGCUAAUCUCAAAAAGCCGAUCGUAGUCCGGAUUGGAGUCUGCAACUCGACUCCAUGAAGUCGGAAUCGCUAGUAAUCGCGGAUCAGAAUGCCGCGGUGAAUACGUUCACGGGCCUUGUACACACCGCCCGUCACACCAUGGGAGUUUGUUGCACCAGAAGUAGGUAGUCUAACCGCAAGGGGGACGCUUACCACGGUGUGGCCGAUGACUGGGGUGAAGUCGUAACAAGGUAACCG